AAAUUGAAGAGUUUGAUCAUGGCUCAGAUUGAACGCUGGCGGCAGGCCUAACACAUGCAAGUCGAGCGGCAGCGGGAAAGUAGCUUGCUACUUUUGCCGGCGAGCGGCGGACGGGUGAGUAAUGCCUGGGGAUCUGCCCAGUCGAGGGGGAUAACAGUUGGAAACGACUGCUAAUACCGCAUACGCCCUACGGGGGAAAGCAGGGGACCUUCGGGCCUUGCGCGAUUGGAUGAACCCAGGUGGGAUUAGCUAGUUGGUGAGGUAAUGGCUCACCAAGGCGACGAUCCCUAG
rnacentral:rRNA from 1 species